GAUGAACGCUGGCGGCGUGCCUAAUACAUGCAAGUCGAGCGAACGGACGAGAAGCUUGCUUCUCUGAUGUUAGCGGCGGACGGGUGAGUAACACGUGGAUAACCUACCUAUAAGACUGGGAUAACUUCGGGAAACCGGAGCUAAUACCGGAUAAUAUUUUGAACCGCAUGGUUCAAAAGUGAAAGACGGUCUUGCUGUCACUUAUAGAUGGAUCCGCGCUGCAUUAGCUAGUUGGUAAGGUAACGGCUUACCAAGGCAACGAUGCAUAGCCGACCUGAGAGGGUGAUCGGCCACACUGGAACUGAGACACGGUCCAGACUCCUACGGGAGGCAGCAGUAGGGAAUCUUCCGCAAUGGGCGAAAGCCUGACGGAGCAACGCCGCGUGAGUGAUGAAGGUCUUCGGAUCGUAAAACUCUGUUAUUAGGGAAGAACAUAUGUGUAAGUAACUGUGCACAUCUUGACGGUACCUAAUCAGAAAGCCACGGCUAACUACGUGCCAGCAGCUGCGGUAAUACGUAGGUGGCAAGCGUUAUCCGGAAUUAUUGGGCGUAAAGCGCGCGUAGGCGGUUUUUUAAGUCUGAUGUGAAAGCCCACGGCUCAACCGUGGAGGGUCAUUGGAAACUGGAAAACUUGAGUGCAGAAGAGGAAAGUGGAAUUCCAUGUGUAGCGGUGAAAUGCGCAGAGAUAUGGAGGAACACCAGUGGCGAAGGCGACUUUCUGGUCUGUAACUGACGCUGAUGUGCGAAAGCGUGGGGAUCAAACAGGAUUAGAUACCCUGGUAGUCCACGCCGUAAACGAUGAGUGCUAAGUGUUAGGGGGUUUCCGCCCCUUAGUGCUGCAGCUAACGCAUUAAGCACUCCGCCUGGGGAGUACGACCGCAAGGUUGAAACUCAAAGGAAUUGACGGGGACCCGCACAAGCGGUGGAGCAUGUGGUUUAAUUCGAAGCAACGCGAAGAACCUUACCAAAUCUUGACAUCCUUUGACAACUCUAGAGAUAGAGCUUUCCCCUUCGGGGGACAAAGUGACAGGUGGUGCAUGGUUGUCGUCAGCUCGUGUCGUGAGAUGUUGGGUUAAGUCCCGCAACGAGCGCAACCCUUAAGCUUAGUUGCCAUCAUUAAGUUGGGCACUCUAAGUUGACUGCCGGUGACAAACCGGAGGAAGGUGGGGAUGACGUCAAAUCAUCAUGCCCCCUAUGAUUUGGGCUACACACGUGCUACAAUGGACAAUACAAAGGGCAGCGAAACCGCGAGGUCAAGCAAAUCCCAUAAAGUUGUUCUCAGUUCGGAUUGUAGUCUGCAACUCGACUACAUGAAGCUGGAAUCGCUAGUAAUCGUAGAUCAGCAUGCUACGGUGAAUACGUUCCCGGGUCU
rnacentral:rRNA from 1 species